UGGGGGCUGUGGUAGCUCAAUGGCAGAGCAUCUGCCUUUCAUGUAGAAGAUCUCAGGUUGAAUCCCUGGCUUUUCAA